rnacentral:rRNA from 1 species
GACGAACGCUGGCGGCGUGCCUAAUACAUGCAAGUAGAACGCUGAAGAGAGGAGCUUGCUCUUCUUGGAUGAGUUGCGAACGGGUGAGUAACGCGUAGGUAACCUGCCUUGUAGCGGGGGAUAACUAUUGGAAACGAUAGCUAAUACCGCAUAACAAUGGAUGACACAUGUCAUUUAUUUGAAAGGGGCAAUUGUUCCACUACAAGAUGGACCUGCGUUGUAUUAGCUAGUAGGUGAGGUAUGGCUCACCUAGGCGACGAUACAUAGCCGACCUGAGAGGGUGGUCGGCCACACUGGGACUGAGACACGGCCCAGACUCCUACGGGAGGCAGCAGGAGGGAAUCUUCGGCAAUGGGGGCAACCCUGACCGAGCAACGCCGGGGGAGGGAAGAAGGGUUUCGGAUCGUAAAGCUCUGUUGUAAGUCAAGAACGGGUGUGAGAGUGGAAAGUUCACACUGUGACGGUAGCUUACCAGAAAGGGACGGCUAACUACGUG